UAAUACAUGCAAGUCGAACGAACUCUGGUAUUGAUUGGUGCUUGCAUCAUGAUUUACAUUUGAGUGAGUGGCGAACUGGUGAGUAACACGUGGGAAACCUGCCCAGAAGCGGGGGAUAACACCUGGAAACAGAUGCUAAUACCGCAUAACAACUUGGACCGCAUGGUCCGAGUUUGAAAGAUGGCUUCGGCUAUCACUUUUGGAUGGUCCCGCGGCGUAUUAGCUAGAUGGUGGGGUAACGGCUCACCAUGGCAAUGAUACGUAGCCGACCUGAGAGGGUAAUCGGCCACAUUGGGACUGAGACACGGCCCAAACUCCUACGGGAGGCAGCAGUAGGGAAUCUUCCACAAUGGACGAAAGUCUGAUGGAGCAACGCCGCGUGAGUGAAGAAGGGUUUCGGCUCGUAAAACUCUGUUGUUAAAGAAGAACAUAUCUGAGAGUAACUGUUCAGGUAUUGACGGUAUUUAACCAGAAAGCCACGGCUAACUACGUGCCAGCAGCCGCGGUAAUACGUAGGUGGCAAGCGUUGUCCGGAUUUAUUGGGCGUAAAGCGAGCGCAGGCGGUUUUUUAAGUCUGAUGUGAAAGCCUUCGGCUCAACCGAAGAAGUGCAUCGGAAACUGGGAAACUUGAGUGCAGAAGAGGACAGUGGAACUCCAUGUGUAGCGGUGAAAUGCGUAGAUAUAUGGAAGAACACCAGUGGCGAAGGCGGCUGUCUGGUCUGUAACUGACGCUGAGGCUCGAAAGUAUGG
rnacentral:rRNA from 2 species